UUCCGGUUGAUCCUGCCGGAGGUCACUGCUAUUGGGAUUCGACUAAGCCAUGCGAGUCGAGAGGGUUCGGCCCUCGGCUGACGGCUCAGUAACACGUGGAUAAUCUGCCCUAAGGUGGAGGAUAACCUCGGGAAACUGAGAAUAAUACUCCAUAGGUCUAGGAUGCUGGAAUGCACUUAGGCUUAAAACUCCGGUGCCUUAGGAUGAGUCUGCGGACUAUCAGGUUGUAGUCAGGGUAAUGACCUGACUAGCNNACGACGGAUAUGGGUUGUGAGAGCAAUAACCCAGAGAUGAUAUCUGAGACACGAUAUCAGGCCCUACGGGGCGCAGCAGGCGCGAAAACUUCACAAUGUGCGAAAGCACGAUGAGGGAAUCCCAAGUGCUUGCACGUAAGUGUAAGCUGUUUCUAUGUUUAAAACGCAUUGAGAGUAAGGGCUGGGUAAGACGGGUGCCAGCCGCCGCGGUAAUACCUGCAGCUCGAGUGGUGGCCGCUAUUAUUGGGCCUAAAACGUCCGUAGCCGGUUUAAUAAAUGCCUGGGUAAAUCGUGUAGCUUAACUAUACGAAUUCCGGGUAGACUGUUAAACUUGAGAUCGGGAGAAGUUAGAGGUACUCCUGGGGUAGAGGUGAAAUUCUGUAAUCCUAGGGGGACCACCAGUGGCGAAGGCGUCUAACUAGAACGAGUUUGACGGUGAGGGACGAAGCCCUGGGGCGCGAACCGGAUUAGAUACCCGGGUAGUCCAGGGUGUAAACGCUGCUUGCUUGAUGUUAGUCGGGCUUCGAGCCCGAUUAGUGUCGGAAAGAAGUUG
rnacentral:rRNA from 1 species